UACAGAGGUGGCAAGCGUUGUUCGGAAUUACUGGGCGUAAAGGGCGCGUAGGUGGCCAACUAAGUCAGACGUGAAAUCCCUCGGCUUAACCGGGGAACUGCGUCUGAUACUGGAUGGCUUGAGUGUGGGAGAGGGAUGCGGAAUUCCAGGUGUAGCGGUGAAAUGCGUAGAUAUCUGGAGGAACACCGGUGGCGAAGGCGGCAUCCUGGACCAUUACUGACACUGAAAAGCGAAAGCCAGGGGAGCAAACGGG
rnacentral:rRNA from 1 species